UCCUGAACUGCAGCGGGGACGAUAAGUUUUUUAAACACACAUGGACGCAUGGAUUUCCCUUCCACCUUGCCUGUGGGUUUCAGAUUAAAGUUCCUGGGGCCAAUACAGGCAUUCGCCGGGCUGCACUCUGCAAAGACAGCUGCACUCUGAAUAGCAGCCAGCCACUGAAGAGAUGGAUUCAAGCCACACGAGAUGGCCCAGAUCCUGAACACCCCAAUGUCUGUGAGUGGUUCGUGGCUCAUGAUACACACAGGGCCAUUCACAAAAUUGAGAUCAAAGUUCAGGGGACUUCAGAGCGAGGGUCUUGGGGCCGGUGCGUCUCUCCGGGCACAGUGCGCAGGCAGAGCAUGAGCAGAGAGUGGCGUGGACCAGAACGCUAGAGCCAAACCCACCUCCCUCCCUCCCAAAACCUUUGGAUCUGGGUCUCGGUGGUUCAAACCCAUCCCGGCUUGUGGCUACUAAGUUCAUCACGCUUGGAUUGCGUGGCUCCUGGCACUGCUGGGAGCUCAGCCGAACACAGUGGGUGAAACUUUAUAGCUAAGGAGACGGCCAAGCUUUCAGAGCUAGAACCGUGAAGAAGGCCAAGCCAUGUGAGUCAUGUUAUCCUAGGCACACAGAAUUCAUCAUCUAACAGCGUGGUGCUGUUGACUAUGCGGGAGGAAGUGGGUCCCGGCUCAGGACUGGGCAUUCAGAGAUGUGAAGGCCAUUUUCAGCUCUGUCGCUGGCUCAGUGACCUUGGGCAAGUCAUGGCAUAGCUGCUAAAUGUCUCUACCUGUGAAAUGGGCGUAAUCCAUACUGCCUCCCACCCGCCAGAGGAGAAAUUAACUGUUGCACAAUGCAUUGCGAUGCGGUAGUGUCACCCUCUAGUGGCUGGCCCCAGAGUUAACAAGAACCUGCUGUUUACUAACAGCCAAUGGAGUUAUUCCUUUAGCCCAAGUGGUACUUGCCCUCUUGGUGCUGUAGGUUGCUGGUUUGAUACCCCCCCUAUGGUGGUUGUAUGACUAUGUCUGUGAAAUUAGUUAGAGCCAGAGAAAGAGCAAAGUGUUAUUAUUAAAGCAUGGUUCAGUCCAUUGAUGAGAACCAGCUACACAACUCA